UUCCCCUCACACAUUCGUGGGUCCGUUUCCUGCCUUUUUCCCCUCACACAUUCCCGGGUCCAUUUCCUGCCUUUUUCCCCUCACACAUUCCCAGGUCCAUUUCCCGCCUUUUUCCCCUCACACAUUCCCAGGUCCAUUUCCCGCCUUUUUCCCCUCACACAUUCCCAGGUCCAUUUCCCGCCUUUUUCCCCUCACACAUUCCCGGGUCCAUUUCCCGCCUUUUUCCCCUCACACAUUCCCAGGUCCAUUUCCCGCCUUUUUCCCCUCACACAUUCCCGGGUCCAUUUCCCGCCUUUUUCCCCUCACACAUUCCCAGGUCCAUUUCCCGCCUUUUUCCCCUCACACAUUCCCGGGUCCAUUUCCCGCCUUUUUCCCCUCAUGCACCCACAGCCGCCAUGACCUGCCUGGCAUGAGGCUGCUGUGACAAACUCAUCGUUGGAUGAGGCUGUCAGGACGGAGUGUGUCACCCUCAGAGAGGUGUCCUGUGGCUCGUGGAGUUCCAUGACCAUGCCCAGACUGUGACCAGGGACUGAAGCAGCCAUGGCCCACCAGGGAAUGCUGAGCAGCUGCAGAAAAAAAAGCUGCAAAUGUUCUCAGACCCAUGAAAACAUGGUGGGAGAUGGCGACUGACAGCGACUGCAAGACGAGUGAAAUAAAAAUCAAAUUUCAA